CCUACGGGGAGCUGCAGUGAGGAAUAUUGGUCAAUGGGCGCGAGCCUGAACCCGCCAAGUCGCGUGAGGGAAGACGGUCCUAUGGAUUGUAAACCUCUUUUGUCGGGGAGCAACAGACGCCACGCGUGGCGUUCCGAGAGUACCCGAAGAAAAAGCAUCGGCUAACUCCGUGCCAGCAGCCGCGGUAAUACGGGGGAUGCGAGCGUUAUCCGGAUUUAGUGGGUUUAAAGGGUGCGCAGGCGGAAGGUCAAGUCAGCGGUAAAAUUGAGAGGCUCAACCUCUUCGAGCCGUUGAAACUGGUUUUCUUGAGUGAGUGAGAAGUAUGCGGAAUGCGUGGUGUAGCGGUGAAAUGCAUAGAUAUCACGCAGAACUCCGAUUGCGAAGGCAGCAUACCGGCGCUCAACUGACGCUCAUGCACGAAAGUGUGGGUAUCGAACAGGAUUAGAUACCCCUGUAGUC
rnacentral:rRNA from 1 species